GCAUGGCUGGCUCAGUCAGUAGAGCACAAGACUCUUAAUCUUGGGGUUGUGAGUUCGAGCCUUAUAUUGGGUA
rnacentral:tRNA from 1 species